rnacentral:rRNA from 1 species
GAUCGCUGUGAUGCGGGCGGUUCGCUGCUCGUGACUCUGCGAGAAGUCCAUUGAACCUUAUCAUUUAGAGGAAGGAGAAGUCGUAACAAGGUUUCCGUAGGUGAACCUGCGGAAGGAUCAUUGUCGAGACCGAAAUGUAUCGAGCGAUUUGGAGAACCUGUCAUAAGAUGCGGCAGCUGUUGUUGCUGCAUUAGAACUGUCCCAGUCGUCAUCUCAUCCCCUUUGGGGCGGGAGCGUGAUGAAGGAUGGGAGAACCCUCAAACCGGCGCAGUAUCGCGUCAAGGAAAUAUCAGAGUAUGAGCCCUUGAAUGGGUUUGUUGGCAUUGGGUGAUGUUGCACUCAUGUGGAUUGACAUGACUCUCGGCAAUGGAUAUCUCGGCUCUCGCAUCGAUGAAGAGCGCAGCGAAAUGUGAUACGUGGUGCGAAUUGCAGAAUCCCGCGAACCAUCGAGUCUUUGAACGCAAGUUGCGCCUGAGGCCAACCGGCCAAGGGCACGUCCGCCUGGGUGUCAAGCAUUAUGUUGCUCCGUGUCAACUCUAUCCCAUCGAUGGAUGGGAUGGCGAAGGCUUGGAUGCGUAGAGUGGCUCGUCGUGUCCCACGGUACGGCGGGCUCAAAAGCGGUUCUUCAUCUCACUGGCUGCGAACAAUAAGGGGUGGAUUUAAACGAGGCCUAUGUUAUUGUGUCGUGCAUGCCACCGAGUUGAUUAUACUUAUUCAGGUGAUCCCAAGCCAAGCACCGAUCCAUGGAUGGUGUUUGGAAUGUGACCCCAGGAUGGGCGAGGCCACCCGCCGAGUUUAAGCAUAUCAAUAAGCGGAGGAGAAGAAACUUGUUUAAGCAUAUCAAUAAGCGGAGGAGAAGAAACUU